rnacentral:rRNA from 1 species
AUUGAACGCUGGCGGCAGGCCUAACACAUGCCAGUCGAGCGGAUGAAGGGAGCUUGCUCCUGGAUUCAGCGGCGGACGGGUGAGUAAUGCCUAGGAAUCUGCCUGGUAGUGGGGGAUAACGUCCGGAAACGGGCGCUAAUACCGCAUACGUCCUGAGGGAGAAAGUGGGGGAUCUUCGGACCUCACGCUAUCAGAUGAGCCUAGGUCGGAUUAGCUAGUUGGUGGGGUAAAGGCCUACCAAGGCGACGAUCCGUAACUGGUCUGAGAGGAUGAUCAGUCACACUGGUACUGAGACACGGUCCAGACUCCUACGGGAGGCAGCAGUGGGGAAUAUUGGACAAUGGGCGAAAGCCUGAUCCAGCCAUGCCGCGUGUGUGAAGAAGGUCUUCGGAUUGUAAAGCACUUUAAGUUGGGAGGAAGGGCAGUAAGUUAAUACCUUGCUGUUUUGACGUUACCAACAGAAUAAGCACCGGCUAACUUCGUG